AUAGCAAUCAGCAAGUCCCAGGUCACGAGCAUGGUGUCUAGUAGCAAUCGUGUAUCCGCGUGAGUGCCCAAGGCGAGAGGUAUCUUUGGCCUCCCAAAAGCGAGCGGCACCACACGGUUACAGCCACGUGACUGCCUCAGGAGCCUCCAGAUCUAGCGCCGCCGGCCCCCUCCUCUCCAUCUCCGGCGUUCUUCGCCGGUGACCGGAAGGAGAGGAGCCACCCGAUUAGUUCCUUGCUCCAGUCGCUAGCAGCGCCAUUGUCAUUCUUGUCGCCGUCAUCUUCGUCAUAAUCGGUGUUGGCGACUAACAAGUAAAGUUUAGUUGAUUUUCUUGAUCAGCUCUGGUGUCACCAGAUGGGCAGAUGCUAUCUCUUGCAUUCCGUUUCUUAAGGGCGAAACUCUAGAGGAAAGAGCACUCGUGGACUUGGAAACCCAUUAUACGAAGGAUUACCUUGAGGAGACUGUCAGAUGAUACAUGUUUGGUUCAGGCAAGAACAGCUUUCUUUGAGGGCAGGAAUCAUGCUGAUUCUAUAGUUUCAGACAUAUACGACACACACACACACAAGUUUGAUCCCUUCUACCUUUUCAUCUCUGAUGAUAUGACUUAUGUUGACCUCCUUUCAAUAUCCAUUUACAUUUGUGGGAAGUAUGUUGCUCACAGCCAAAAUUGGUAGGGUCAGCGGCCGACCGGUCUGCCCAGUUGUAAUCCGAGUAGAGUUAGUUUUAUUUAUAAAAUCCUUGUAUAAACCGACUUGAAAGGGUACGACUUCCCCGGCCUAUAUAUAUAAAGGCUAAGGCCGAUUGAGUGUA